AACGAACGCUGGCGGCGUGCCUAACACAUGCAAGUCGAACGGAAUUAGAGAGCUUGCUCUUUAAUUUAGUGGCGCACGGGUGAGUAACGCGUAGAUAAUCUGCCUGACGAUCUGGGAUAACACUUCGAAAGAGGUGCUAAUACCGGAUAAGCCCACGGGUUCUUUGGAAUCUGCGGGAAAAGGGGGGGACCUUCGGGCCUUCUGUCGUCAGAUGAGUCUGCGUACCAUUAGCUAGUUGGUAGGGUAAAGGCCUACCAAGGCGACGAUGGUUAGCUGGUCUGAGAAGAUGAUCAGCAAAACCAGAACUGAGACACGUUCCAGACGCCUACGGGAGGCAGCAGUGGUGAAUUUUGCGCAAUGGGCGAAAGCCUGACGCAGCAACGCCGCGGGAGUGAUGAAGGCUUUCGGGUCGUAAAGCUCUGUCAAUGGGAAAGAAGGUGGCAGGACUAAUAAUCCUGUUGCUUGACGGUACCUGGAGAGGAAGCCCCGGCUAACUCUGUGCCAGCAGCCGCCGUAAUAC
rnacentral:rRNA from 1 species